UACGGGGGGGGUAAGCGUUGUUCGGAAUUACUGGGCGUAAAGGGCUCGUAGGCGGCCAACUAAGUCAGACGUGAAAUCCCUCAGCUUAACUGGGGAACUGCGUCUGAUACUGGAUGGCUUGGAUUCGGGAGAGGAAUGCGGAAUUCCAGGUGUAGCGGUGAAAUGCGUAGAUAUCUGGAGGAACACCGGUGGCGAAGGCGGCAUUCUGGACCGAUAUUGACGCUGAGGAGCGAAAGCCAGGGGAGCAAACGGGAUUAAGAAACCC
rnacentral:rRNA from 1 species